rnacentral:rRNA from 1 species
AGUGAACGCUGGCGGUAGGCCUAACGCAUGCAAGUCGAACGGCAGCACAGUAAGAGCUUGCUCUUACGGGUGGCGAGUGGCGGACGGGUGAGGAAUACAUCGGAAUCUACUUUUUCGUGGGGGAUAACGUAGGGAGACUUACGCUAAUACCGCAUACGACCUACGGGUGAAAGCAGGGGAUCUUCGGACCUUGCGCGAUUGAAUGAGCCGAUGUCGGAUUAGCUAGUUGGCGGGGUAAAGGCCCACCAAGGCGACGAUCCGUAGCUGGUCUGAGAGGAUGAUAGGCCACACUGGAACUGAGACACGGUCCAGACUCCUACGGGAGGCAGCAGUGGGGAAUAUUGGACAAUGGGCGCAAGCCUGAUCCAGCCAUACCGCGUGGGUGAAGAAGGCCUUCGGGUUGUAAAGCCCUUUUGUUGGGAAAGAAAAGCAGCAGGUUAAUACCCCGCUGUUCUGACGGUACCCGAAGAAUAAGCACCGGCUAACUUCGUG